rnacentral:rRNA from 1 species
ACCCGCACAAGCAGCGGAGCGUGUGGUUUAAUUCGUUGCUACACGAAGAACCUUACCAGGGUUUGACAUGCAAGUGGUAGGAAGCCGAAAGGUGACCGACCCUUCGGGGAGCUUGCACAGGUGCUGCAUGGCUGUCGUCAGCUCGUGUCGUGAGAUGUUCGGUUAAGUCCGCUAACGAGCGCAACCCUCGCUGUGUGUUAUAUGCGUCACACGGGACUGCCGGUCUUAAGCCGGAGGAAGGUGGGGAUGAUGUCAAGUCAGCAUGGCCUUUAUAUCCUGGGCUACACACACGCUACAAUGGCCAACACAAUAGGUUGCUAAGCCGCGAGGUGGCGCCAAUCCAUAAAGUUGGUCUCAGUUCAGAUUGUAGGCUGCAACCCGCCUGCAUGAAGAUGGAGUUGCUAGUAACCGCAGGUCAGCUAUACUGCGGUGAAUACGUUCCCGGGGCUU